rnacentral:rRNA from 1 species
CCUACGGGCGGCAGCAGUGGGGGAUAUUGCACAAUGGGGGAAACCCUGAUGCAGCGACGCCGCGUGUGGGAAGACGGUCCUCUGGAUUGUAAACCACUGUCCCCAGGGACGAAGAUGAUGGUACCUGGGGAGGAAGCUCCGGCUAACUACGUGCCAGCAGCCGCGGUAAUACGUAGGGAGCGAGCGUUGUCCGGAAUUACUGGGUGAAAAGGGAGCGUAGGCGGGACUGCAAGUUGGGUGUCAAAUCUACCGGCUCAACCGGUAGCCGCACUCAAAACUGCAGUUCUUGAGUGAAGUAGAGGCAGGCGGAAUUCCUAGUGUAGCGGUGAAAUGCGUAGAUAUUAGGAGGAACACCAGUGGCGAAGGCGGCCUGCUGGGCUUUUACUGACGCUGAGGCUCGAAAGUGUGGGGAGCAAACAGGAUUAGAUACCCGAGUAGUC